rnacentral:rRNA from 1 species
UACGUAGGGGGCAAGCGUUGUCCGGAAUCAUUGGGCGUAAAGAGCGUGUAGGCGGCCCGAUAAGUCCGCUGUGAAAGUCCAGGGCUCAACCCUGGAAUGCCGGUGGAUACUGUCGGGCUCGAAUCCGGAAGAGGUGAGUGGAAUUCCUGGUGUAGCGGUGAAAUGCGCAGAUAUCAGGAGGAACACCAAUGGCGAAGGCAGCUCACUGGGACGGUAUUGACGCUGAGACGCGAAAGCGCGGGGAGCAAACAGG